rnacentral:ncRNA from 1 species
UUCUUAUCCAGAGAAGCCGAGGGAACUGGCCCAUUGAAGCUUCAGCAACCUCUGACUAUUUGUCAGAAAGGUGCUAAUUCCAGCCAAGAUGUAUUCUUGGGAGAUAAGAG